rnacentral:rRNA from 1 species
ACUAGCUUGCUAGUUAUUAAAUUAGUGGCAGACGGGUGAGUAACGCGUGGGAAUCUACCCAAAGGUACGGAAUAACUACCAGAAAUGGUUGCUAAUACCGUAUAAUAUCUCCGGAUUAAAGAUUUAUCGCCUUUGGAGGAGCCCGCGUUUGAUUAGGUAGUUGGUGGGGUAAUGGCUCACCAAGCCGACGAUCAAUAGCUGGUCUGAGAGGAUGAUCAGCCACACUGGAACUUAGACACGGUCCAGACUCC